rnacentral:misc_RNA from 1 species
GUAUGGGUUCUUGAAAUCUCAGGUGGGUCUUUUGUUUCUUGCAAUUUCUUGUUUCUUUGAUUUUGAUCUAUAUUCGACUUGAGUCAACUGGGUCACGGUGUGCUAGGUGAAUUUUUAGUUAUAUCGCUUGAAUUAUCGCUGACGUUGCUUCUUUUUAUUCGUAUCUUUAACUCUGUUUGAGUAUAUAUGAAUGGAUGUAUUUGUGUGGGUAUGCUAAAUCUUUGUUAAGAUGCUGAAUUUUGCUUCUUGUGUUUGUUGAUUUCGAAUUUGUUUCAGGUUUUACUGUUUUGAAGUUG